AAGGAGAGCAGUGAGGAGACCUCCCGGAGGUCUGGACGGGGUAGGGUAUGGACUGGGAGGAGUGACAGGGAAGCCAGACAUCACAGAGCAGACCACCUGACCAAAGAAUGAGCACACAGUUGCGGGGAGUGGUGCAGAUAAGGGAACCCCGCCCCUCUGCCACAAGGCUAGUCUGUCAGGUCAGCCAAAUCCACUGAAGCCAUACUGGAAGAACCUUGUGACCCUCUCACAAGAGCAGCUCCCACAGCGCCCAGUGCCUGGCAUGUGCUCCACAGACACACGAAGAAAUGAAGGCGGGUACAGGAGAGGAAGGGGACAAGAGGACAGAGGAAGGUCAGAAUGGCCUGCUUCACCAAUUGCCCCCUGCCCUGCCAUCCACCGCCAACUCCAGGCCCCACGAUGGCCCACCAGGGCACCAGACCAUGUGCAAGGAUGUCUGAGAGAUGCCCAGCGUGGGUGGGUGCUCCCUCCCCCCUGCCUCCGCUCCUCCUCCUCCCCGGAACUGCCGCCUCCUCCGCCUGAGUGGCUGAUGCCCUCUGGGUUCUGUUUUCAUUCCAGGCUGUGGAUCCGGUCGUGGGAAGCAGCUUUCUGUGCCUCAGCCCUCCACAGAGAAGACUGCUAGGCCUGAGCUGACUCCCCUGGAAACCCCAGACUCCAGUGACGUGCUUCUGGAACCUGCUCAGACAAAGUUAGGUAAGAGCCUGGGCAGUGGGUGGGUUGCAACACCCAGCCUGGCUGACCAGAAAGCUGAAGAGGACUGGAAGUUCAAGAAGAAGUAGAGAGGAGGUGGAGAGAGAGAAAGGGCAGAAGGAGGAGACAUCGAAGACCUCCCGAACAUCUUCUGUGGGAUCUCAGAGAAGGCAAAGCUCACCCUCCUGACUCCAGGACUCAUUUGUGUCCAGCCACUGAAUUAUCUACUUGUUACCCCUCCUGUGGAUCUCUCCCGAGGGAAAGAUCUACCUUGGAAGGCUGGUAAUAAAAGAUGUGGAGCUGAGCCACCUUUGGCCACGUAGAUGAAGACACCUUAGAAGAUGGCAGAGACACAAAAUGGAAAAGCCCUGGGUCUCCAUAAGAUGACAUGGUGGACAUCUGCCCUGCCAGUCUGGACCAUUCAUUUCCAGACUAUGAGUGAGAAAUAUGCUUCCAUCUUAUUUAAGCAACUGUAUUUGGAUAUUUGAAGUGUUUCAUGAUCACGAUAAGAAUUACCGCCACCCACAGUAUCCAUCGCAGUGGGCAGAGCCCGUGGCAGUGAGCAUGCAGCUUGGCUCCCCAGCUCUGGUCCCAUCUCUACUGCUCUGGAGCUAUGGCACUUGGAAAAGUUUCUUCGCUUCUCAAGCCUCAGUGUCCUCAUCUGUAAAAUAAGGAUAAUAAUAGGACUUUCCUUAGAGUAUUUUUGUGAGGCUUACAUGAGUUAAAAUGUAAGGUGCUUAGUGUAAUGCUGGGCACACAACGAGUACAACAUAAGCAUCAGAUUUUUCUUCCUAUUUCUCAACCUGUGACACUCAGCUGUCAUCUCUGUGAAACUUUCCAGGACACUGUCCCCAUGUCUAAUCCAUCUAUCAAGACUGGGCCAAGGAGAACUGGGCGCUCCAUCCUGACUUCCACCUUGCUUAAUUGUGUAGCAUAACUAUUUGUCUGUCUGUCUGCCUGACUAUACUGCUCUCUUAUUUAUCUUUGUGUCCCUGAUGUCUGGCAAUGAUAGGAAUGUAAGAAUCAUUGUGGAUGACUGAAAGAACAAACAAAAAAAUGAACAAGUGAACGUCCCUCCUGUCUCCAGUGCAUCCACUAGUGUUUUCUCCCAUCCCCCCUCCUCUUUCCAGGCGCCCUGGACUAUUAGACUGGCUUAAGUCCCUCCAAUCACAGAAGAAAUACUUGACCAAGAGUCAUUACUCUAAACAAACACUCUUUCGGGGUUGUAAAAGAAACCCAUAUGUAGAAGGCAAGGUUAACACAAAGGAAAGAGUCUCUAAUGGUAGAAUCUAAGAUUCUAAGGCACGCACGUGUGCACACGCACACACACCAUCUAUCUCUGCUCAGAGGGAUUAUCUCAGCAAGUGAGACAUAUUGGAAGGUAAUGUGGGAACAGAGCUCUCAGGGAAAAAGUUGUGAAUGUUCUUUGAAGAGUUGUGCGUGAGUCACAUUUUUAAAAAACACAAAUCAUAUUCCUAGUGAAUAAAAGAAUGUUUUUAAUUUACUGGAGGACCUGGCUAGUUAAAUCUUAUUGUGAACUCUUUAUUAAAGACUGAAGUAAGGAAUUCUUUUGUUAAGUAAAUAUUCAGGCCCUUCCUUGCCAAAGAGCUUUUGAAAUCUUUGCUGUAAUUAUGCUGAUGUUUUCUGUGUUUAUAUGUUAAAUGCCUAGAGCUUAAUUGUUAAUGGGUAAAUAAGAGGAGCCACACGGUCCUUGCCAAGAGAGGCCCAAGAACCAGGGCUGUAAGAACAAUGGUUCCGCGGGGCUCCCCUGGAGGGGGUGAAAGGCAGUAGGGUAAGCCAGCGGCUUGGGCUCUUCUCUGUAGGCACG
rnacentral:lncRNA from 1 species